rnacentral:rRNA from 1 species
GUGAGGAAUAUUGCGCAAUGGAGGCAACUCUGACGCAGCCAUGCCGCGUGCAGGAAGAAGGCGCUACGCGUUGUAAACUGCUUUUAACCGGGAAGAAACCCCAGGACGUGUCCUGGGUUGACGGUACCGGAGGAAUAAGCACCGGCUAACUUCGUGCCAGCAGCCGCGGUAAUACGAAGGGUGCAAGCGUUAUCCGGAUUCAUUGGGUUUAAAGGGUGCGUAGGCGGAGCAUUAAGUCAGUGGUGAAAUCCUGCAGCUUAACUGUAGACUUGCCAUGGAUACUGGCGCUCUUGAGUGCGCUUGAAGUGGGCGGAAUGUGCCGUGUAGCGGUGAAAUGCUUAGAUAUGGCACAGAACACCAAUUGCGAAGGCAGCUCACUAAGGCGAUACUGACGCUGAGGCACGAAAGCGUGGGGAUCGAACAGGAUUAGAAACCCCUGUAGUCC